rnacentral:rRNA from 1 species
AUUGAACGCUGGCGGCAGGCCUAACACAUGCAAGUCGGACGGUAGCACAGAGGAGCUUGCUCCUCGGGUGACGAGUGGCGGACGGGUGAGUAAUGUCUGGGGAUCUGCCCGAUAGAGGGGGAUAACCACUGGAAACGGUGGCUAAUACCGCAUAACGUCGCAAGACCAAAGAGGGGGACCUUCGGGCCUCUCACUAUCGGAUGGACCCAGAUGGGAUUAGCUAGUAGGCGGGGUAACGGCCCACCUAGGCGACGAUCCCUAGCUGGUCUGAGAGGAUGACCGGCCACACUGGAACUGAGGCACGGUCCAGACUCCUACGGGAGGCGGCAGUGGGGAAUAUUGCACAAUGGGCGCAAGCCUGAUGCAGCCAUGCCGCGUGUAUGAAGAAGGCCUUCGGGUUGUAAAGUACUUUCAGCGGGGAGGAAGGCGAUGUGGUUAAUAACCGCGUCGAUUGACGUUACCCGCAGAAGAAGCACCGGCUAACUCCGUGCCAGCCGCCGCAGUAA